ACCCAUUUCUGCCAGGGCUGGAUGUAAGCCUUGCAAUAGGAUGAGAGCGCCUGUGUCCCAGGGUGCUUGCUGUGCUGGUGUUACAGCAAUGUUGGGGCUCCUCAAAAAGACCUAAAGCUGCAAACCAAGAAACCGCCUGUGGCAAAGCCGAGCCAAGGGGGAGCAUCAAACGGCAAUGUUGCUGCAGUGUGUAUGAUUUUGAUGAGCUGUCUUGAAGAGGUGACCCUUUUCUCCUCUGGCUGAUAGUCACGGUUCUAAGCUGCUAACGCUAUUUUGAGCCUUCUUUCCCACACAAUGCCAAAAUAUUCAGGAAACAAAUUGAGUUUACAAAUCCACAGUAAUUUAGUACUCUUCUCCUGCUGGUUGUGAGCCUGUUUUUGCCGGGGUGGGACUGCAGGAUUUAGCUUAAGUGCUAUUACCCGCGGUCAGAGUCACCCAUCAGAGCUGUUUCCCUCUUCUUUGGCUGUUUUGUGGUGGCUACGCUGCUGCUGAAGGAUCCAACGUAGCUGCAAGAAGUGAGUGCCCAGAGACCCAGCCUUGCUGCCUCAGAGUCAUCUCCCAGCCUGGGCACAGCUUGGCACUGGGGCUUUGAGAGCGCAACCUCUCCUGUGGGGCCAUGGCUGUGCUCCCCCUGCAAACAGCCUCCCUCCCUGCUGGUCCUUGGUGACCUCCAGAUGCUCUGCAGAGCCUUGCAUGCAGCGAAAUGGUGGGGAUGAGCCAUGGUAGGCAGCACAGGGCAGUGGCCCGUGCCCUCAGUUGUCCCACACUUGGAGUACAGUGCUCAUCUGAGCUACAGCUGCUGCUUCCAGCCGUGCUCCAUCUUGGGGAAACCUCUUCCGAGCCACGAGCCCCAGGGAGACGUGAAAGCCCAGCCAGCACCAGCUGCACGAGGAAGGCCUGCAAUGCUGCAGGAGACUGCAAAGCCGUGGGAUAGGAAGAAGCUCU
rnacentral:lncRNA from 1 species